rnacentral:lncRNA from 1 species
UAAUCCAAGUUUUAUUUCGAUGAGUAUUUUACAAACUAUGGAUAUAUUAAAACUUGGUAUCAGUUGGAGAAUAAGAAAUGUAGAUAUAAUUAGAGUUUGGGGUGAUCCUUGGAUUAACCGAGAUUAUAACUUUUUUAUAGAAACUCCUUGUGUGGAUGGGUUAGAGUAUAUGUGAGCUUUUUUUAGCCUAUAGGUGUUGGUUGUACAGCUUGUAUUCCUAUGAGUAUUUCUAGGCAUAUUGAUAAACCUAUAUGGAACUUUUGGAAUGGUGAGAAUAUUUACUUUUCACUUUGAAUCUUUUUUAGUAUUUUGAAAAAAGCUGAUGAUCUAUUAUAUUAACUUUUUUCUAAAUUUGAUUAAUAAAAUUAUAUUUUAAAUGUCUAUGUGGAUGGGAUAGCUUAUAAAUUAUUUAUUUUUUUAAAAAAUAUAAAUUUAUAAAUAAAUUAAAAUAUUUUUAAAUUUAUAAUUUAUCUAAAAGAAGGGAAAUAAAGGAUUGCUAAUUAUACUUUCAAC